AUCGACAAUUGAUCUAUCAAGGACAACGUUCAUCGACGAAACGCAGACUGAACGCGUUUUGAACUUCGUUCAGACGAGCCAGUGCAGGUAUAUAAGCAGCCCACGGGCGGGCCGAGAGGAUAUUCUCUGCCAACUCGUCCAACGACAAGCACGUGAUUCCCAGGCCUUAGCAGACGACGUUCUUUGGUGACUACUUAUUAACAAUAACCGUUAUAUAAGCAGGGAUGCCAGGCGGCGGUGGCAAAGGCGGCGGUGGUGGUGGCGGUAAAGGUGGUGGCGGCCAGGUGGCGCGGUCUUCAAGUGGCGCCGUCAAAUGCCACGGCGGCGGCGCAGUCAAGUCCAGCACCCAAGUCCGCACGUCCUACGGCCCUGGCAAUGCGUCCGUGACCACGGCCAAGACGGCCACCGUCAGGAGCGGUCCUGCUGGGGUCUCCACCACGUACAAGGCUGUGCAGACCAGCUUCAACCCCCACCAUUAAAUUGCCUGCUAGA